GUGCCAGCCGCCGCGGUAACACGUAGGAGCCAAGCGUUAUCCGAAUUCACUGGGCGUAAAGCGCGUGUAGGCGGUCUUACAAGUUGGGUGUGAAAGCUCCUGGCUCAACUAGGAGAGGACGUUCAAUACUGUGAGACUAGAGGACGGCAGAGGAAGGUGGAAUUCCCGGUGUAGUGGUGAAAUGCGUAGAUAUCGGGAGGAACACCAGAGGCGAAGGCGGCCUUCUGGGCCGAUCCUGACGCUCAGACGCGAAAGCUAGGGGAGCGAACGGGAUUAGAAACCCCGGUAGUCCUAGCCGUAAACGAUGUAGACUUGGCGCUGGUGGUGUAAAAGCCAUCAGUGCCGAAGCCAACGCGAUAAGUCUACCGCCUGGGGACUACGGCCGCAAGGUUAAA
rnacentral:rRNA from 1 species